AUUGAACGCUGGCGGCAGGCCUAACACAUGCAAGUCGAACGAGUGGCGGACGGGUGAGUAAUGUCUGGGAAACUGCCCGAUGGAGGGGGAUAACUACUGGAAACGGUAGCUAAUACCGCAUACCAUCGGAUGUGCCCAGAUGGGAUUAGCUUGUAGGUGAGGUAACGGCUCACCUAGGCGACGAUCCCUAGCUGGUCUGAGAGGAUGACCAGCCACAUUGUAACUGGGAAACUGUCCGGACGCCUACGGGAUGGAGCGGUGGGGAAUAUUGCUCAAUGGGCGCAAGUCUGUUGCAGCGAUGCGGCGUGUAUGAAGAAGGCCUUCGGGUUGUAAAGUACUUUCCGCGGGGAGGCGUUACCCGCAGAAGAAGCACCGGCUAACUCCGUGCCAGCAGCCGCGGUAAUAC
rnacentral:rRNA from 1 species